UAGGCCAUGGUCUGAUCCCAAAGUUAGGGUU
rnacentral:piRNA from 1 species